UACGGAGGGUGCAAGCGUUGUUCGGAAUCAUUGGGCGUAAAGCGCGUGUAGGCGGCUUGGUAAGUCGGGUGUGAAAUCCCGGGGCCCAACCCCGGAACUGCAUUCGAAACUGCCUCGCUAGAGUCCCGGAGAGGAAGGCGGAAUUCCCGGUGUAGAGGUGAAAUUCGUAGAUAUCGAGAGGAAUACCUGCGGCGAAAGCGGCCUUCUGGACGAACACUGACGCUGAGAUGCGAAAGCGUGGGGAGCAAACAGG
rnacentral:rRNA from 1 species